ACAAACACAAUUAUAAACAAGAUGCGCCUGUACAUAAACGUAUACAUACCGUAUGUAGUACAUAUAUGCGUAUACACGAAAGACCUCUAUAUAUAUAUACAUACAUAAAUACACACACACACACACACACACAUACUGUUUCUUACAUGUUUUUGUCUUUACUGCGGCCAUGUUUUUCGCCAACCAAACUGACCCCAGAAUUUAUUUCAAGCCAUGUUCUGGUUUUCAUUUUUAGUCUUAUUUUCGCCAAACCGCAAAGAUGCGGGACCGACAACAAAACUACAUCACUUAACGAAUGGUGAGAGAACACACACACACACACGCACACACACACAUACACACAUACAAGCACGCGCUCGCUCGCGCGCAAAUUCACAUGCGACGGGCUUCCUACAGUAUGCAUGCACUUAACUCAUGCGUAAGGCACUGAUCAGCCUCAAAUAUCGCCAGAAACCCUGGGGAUUGUAAAACGAACUUCGGGUCUUUUCUGUUUGAACGGCAGUCUUUUUCUAGCGGUGUCAUAUGAAAUUGUCAACCAUAAUUAUGACCCUAGUAUCGAUCUAUUGCAUUUCAAUCUGUUUUAGGGUUAGGGUUAGGGGGAAGGGUAUCUUUAUUUCUUUACAAAUGUAAAUAAACCCAAUCUGUUUCUUAAACGAGGGACAUAUUCAUACGGCACAGAAUGCUUUUUUUUUUACCUCAAUAGACGUCAUUGAUUGAUUGAAAUUGCAGAAAUUAAAGGAAAAAAACAAAUAUCUUACAAACAAUAGAAUUUUCUCAAUAAAGCCAAGAGAAAAAGAUGUUUUAUAAACACAUUCUACCAGUAUACGAAGUUUAAAAGUAUUUAGUUACGUGGAAAUUAUUUUAAAAAACUGCCGGUCAAACCGAAAAGAUCCCCCAGAGAACUUAAGACAGAGUUAGAAUAAUGUUUCAUUAAAUUAAUAAAAUGAUUCAUUACCCAUGGCCAUGUGUUUCGUUUAAAAUGGGACCAUUUGUAACGAGGCAUUUUAAUGUAAUGAUGUGUACACAAGUAUAUGUGUUAUUGUGGUUAUUUCUGGUUAGAAACUAGGUAAGUGCGUGAUAUAGGAGCAACCUCAUUGCAAAAUCACAUUGAGCAAGUAUCAUUAUUUAUAAUGAUACUCGGGUCAAUCAAACGUGCGAGAUUGAAAUACGGUCGACGGAAACUAGUGUGCAAGUCAUUCAGGAAGAACAUUCUUCAUAUUGAGUUGUAAUCGUCAUCGUCAUCAUCAUCAUUUAACAUCCGUUUUCAGUGCUGGUAUGAGUAGGUGGGUUUGACAAGAUCUGGUAAGCUUUUGGGCUACAUCGAUCACCCAAUGUCAUGGCUGAAUGCCUUUCCUAACACAAAAUAUAAUUUGCAGUAGGCGCAGGAGUGGCUGUGUGGUAAGUAGCUUGCUUUGCUUACCAACCACAUGGUUCCGGGUUCAUUCCCACUGCGUGGCACCUUGGGCAAGUGUCUUCUACUAUAGCCUCGGGCCGACCAAAGCCUUGUGAGUGGAUUUGGUAGACGGAAACUGAAAGAAGCCCGUCGUAUAUAUGUAUAUAUAUAUGUAUGUGUGUGUCUGUGUUUGUCCCCCUAGCAUUGCUUGACAACCGAUGCUGGUGUGUUUACGUCCCCGUUACUUAGCGGUUCGGCAAAAGACACCGAUAGAAUAAGUACUAGGCUUACAAAGAAUAAGUCCUGGGGUCGAUUUGCUCGACUAAAGGCGGUGCUCCAGCAUGGCCGCAGUCAAAUGACUGAAACAAGUAAAAGAGUAAAUAGUGUUUUGUUUUUCCUGUUACCUGCACUAGUCAGGUCGCACUGUAACUUGCAAGACAGAAGAAGGGACUUAUUCUUUGUAAGCCCAGUACUUAUUCUAUCGCUUCGAAUAAGUAAGUGGCGAAAGUAUGAAGGCUCGUGGGUUAGUGGUUAAGGGUGUUCGGCUUGUGAUCGUACAGUCAAGCGUUCGAUUCCUGGUGGAACACUGUGCCCUUGUGCAAGGCGCUUUAUUUCACGUUGCUCCAGUCCACUCAACUGGCAAAAAUGAGAUGUACCUGUAUUUCAAAGGACCAGCCUUUCAUAUUCUGUGUCACGCUGAAUCUCCCCGAGGACUACAUUAAGGGUACACGUGUCUGUGGAGUGCUCAGCCACUUGCACAUUAAUCUCACGAUUCCAAGCAAGGUAAUAUUUCUCCAUGGCCGUACAUGUUUUCACGGAAGACUGGAAACGAACAACACUGCUUGUGUAACGGCGACGCUCAUUUACAACUAACGGAUUGCUUGAAGCUAACUUUCUUCCUACACCUCGAUACUUGGAUCUGUUAUAUAUGUGGGCGGGUGGGGUGGGGGGUUGCAGUCGUCGGGUCGCGGUUUCGAUUCCCAGACCGGGCGUUGUGAGUGUUUAUUGAGCGAAAACACCUAAAGUUCCACGAGGCUCCAGCAGGGGGUGGUGGUGAACCCUGUUACUCUUUCAUCACAGCUUUCUCUCACUCUUUCUUCCUGUUUCUGUUGUACCUGUAUUUCAAAGGGACCACGUUAAGGGUACACUUGUCUGUGGAGUGCUCAGCCACUUGCACGUUAAUUUCACGAGCAAGCUGUUCCGUUGAUCGUAUCAGCUGGAACACUCGUCGUCGUAACCGACGGAGAUCCACGAUACAUAUAUAGAUACACGACGACGAUCUUCCGUACAGUUUUCGUCAACCAAAUUCACUCACGAAGCAUUGGUUGUCCCGGGGCUUGGAUCUUUUCGGUUUGACCGGCAGUUUUUUCUAGCUGUCAUAUGAAAUUGUCACCUAUAAUUUUGACCCUAGUAUCGAUCUAUUGCAUUUCGAUCUGGGUUAGGGUUAGGGGGGGAAGGGUAUCUUUUUUCUUUACAAAUGUAAAUAAACCCAAUCUGUUUCUUAAACGAGGGACAUAUUCAUACGGCACAGAAUAUUUUCACCUCAAUAGACGUCAUUGAUUGGUUGAAGUUGCAGAGAUUGAAGAAAAAAAACAACAAAUAUCUUACAAACUAUAGAAUUUUCUCAAUAAAGCCAAGAGAAAAAGAUGUUUUAUAAACACAUUCUACCAGUAUACGAAGUUUAAAAGUGUUUAGUUACGUGGAAAUUAUUUUUAAAAAAAACUGCCGGUCAAACCGAAAAGAUCCCGGGGCUUUAGUAAAAAAAAAAAAAAAAAAACAUUUCGUCGAAGCACCGCUUAGUCGAAUUGAACCCUAGACCACGUGCUUGCGAAACGAACUUUUUAACCAUAGAACUAUUCAUGCGCAUAGAACGUUCACCGCUAAGACAACUUAUAAACAUUCAAAGCGCGCACGGCGAACUGCGAGGAGCGGUGAGUCCUGGCGUGUUAUUGGGACGGAGUGAGGGUCUGUGAUUGAGUAAAGGUGUAUAUAUAUAGCUAAUGGUAGAAAAGGGUGUGUAUACAUAAUCCCGUCAGCUGCGAUGUGUCAUUCAUGAAGAAGAUUCACCUCAUGUAAGUUUGUUGUUUUCAAUUCGCUCUGUUCUUCCGAAUUUAUAUGAUGCGUGUGUGGUGUGUGGUGUGCGUGUAUGCAUAUAUGUGUGAGCGUGCUUGCGUGUGGGUACAUAUAUAUAUAUAUAUAGAUCUAGAAAAUACACAAUUACUUAUAUAUAUACACACAAACGAUACAUAUUGACGCACUGUAGUAACAUACACACGUGUGUGUGUAUGUGUGUGUAUAUAUAUAUAUAUGUUAUAUAUACACACAUACAUAUAUAUAUAUAUAUAUAUAUAUAUAUAUAUAUAUAUAUACACACACACAUGCGAUCAAUCUCAUACGAACAUUAUAUAACACACACGUUUAUAUAUAGGUAUAUAUAUAUAUAUAUAUAUAUAUAUAUAUAUAUAUAAUGUAUGUGUCAGUUAUUAAACUGCGGCCACGUGUGUGAUAUAUAUACAUAUAUACCAACAUUAUAUAUAUAUAUAUAUAUAUAUGGAUGGGGUAUACAUAUGUAUGUAUAUACAUACAUAUAUAUAUAUAUAGAGAGAGAGAGAGAGAGAGAGAGAUCUAUAUGUAUAUGCGUGAUAUAGAUAGAUAGAUAGACAGAUAGAUAGAGACACACACACCUAUAUACACAUGCAUGUACACAUAUAGUGUGAGUAUGUAUAUACAUACAUAUACACACAUCCCAGCGCUUGGCAACGCAGCCCACCACCUACCGGACACGUGAUAGUUCUGGAAUUAGUAAAUAUUUGUUGUUGCUUUAACAUCUGUCGUCCUGUGGAAUGGUCAGAGCUUUUGUUUUUUGGGGGUUCUUGUAGUGGCGAUUAUAAGUAUACAUGCGAUCAAAGACGUUCUAUAAAUGACCACCACUCCAUUUGUGUUUGUGCGUGCGUGUGUGUGUUUUUUUUUUCUUUCUCGUAUACCAAGAACUAUCCUUCCUAUUCGUCGUUUAAAAAGCUUUAAGGUGUGAUUUCAGGGAAAUCUGGCUGCUAUUUCUCGCAUGUCAGGUAACCACCCCCCCCCCCCCGUAGUGGCUGUAUUCUUGGUGACGGCGAUUGUACUAUUUCGGUGAUGAUUUGAAUAGUUUAGAGGUGAAAGGUCAGGGUCAUAGUUUUUAUUUUUUCUUUGACCUGACAUGUCAUUCUUUCUUCCAUCCCCUCCCUCUUUCUCUCUCUCUCUAUCUAUCUUUCACACUUAAACUUCUCCUCUCUAUUGCACCUCUACUCUUUCUCUUUUCACUUCUACUCAUAUACUCUUUCUCUCUCUCUUCCACUUAUUUUCUCACCUUCGUGUCUGAACUUUCUUUCAUAUUUUUCUCUCUCACUUCUAUUCUCUCUCUCUCUUCUUCAAUCUCUCUUUAUCUCUACUAUUUCUUUUUCUCCUCUCUCUCACUUCUACUCUCUCUCUUUUCUUCAAUCUCUCUUUUUCUCCUCUCUCUCACUUCUACUCUCUCUUUUCUCUACUAUUUCUUUUUCUCCUCUCUCUCACUUCUACUCUCUCUUUUCUCUACUAUUUCUUUUUCUCCUCUCUCUCACUUCUACUCUCUCUUUUCUUCAAUCUCUCUUUCUCUCUUUCAUUUCUACUCUGUCUCUCACUCUUACUCACACUUCCCUCUUCUGUCUUACACUCUUUUGCAUUCUUUUUCCAUUCUCUCUCUCUAUCUAUCUAUCUAUCUCUCUCUCUCUCUCUCAUACCCCUCUCUCUAUUAUUUGUCCUCUCUUCCAUUCCCUCUCUCUCUCUAAUUCAUUCCUCCAUUUUACACUUUCUACCACUCCUCUCUCUCUCUCUCUCUAUUGUGUUUUUAGUCUUUCUACUUCUCUCUUUCCUUGCCCUUCACCUAAUUUUCUCCAGUUCUCAACACAAACAACCAAGUCGUUCACAUUGCACAUGUGUAAACAUACGUCGCCUCUUUUCAGUCAGUAUCUUUUGCUAAAAAUAGCUGUCAAAUCCCAUCAAAAUCACUUCCUACGUAACUGUUGCAAAACAAAGACACAUUUAUUUGACAAUGGUCGGCCCCAGAUUUACAAACGCAAAAUAACAGAUAGAUUCAGUCCCUCUGUGUAGCCCUGGCCUGUCCAAAGCCUUGCGAAUGGAUUUGGUAGAAGGAAACUGAAAGAAGCCCGUCGUCGCGCGGGGCGCGGGGCUGGCUUCCGUCCUGCAACACAACGGUUCGGCAAAAGAGAGCAAUAGACUGGAGUCGAUGUUAGAUCAAACCCUUCAAGGCAGUGCCCCAGCAUGGCCACAGUCCAAUGACUGAGACAAGUGAAAGGUAAAAGAUAAAUCAUUCUAUUACUUGUUUUAGCCAUUGGACUGCGGCCGAGCUGGAGCCAUGCCUUAAGCGGUUUAGUCCAGAUAUGAGCAUUCUUUUUUGAGAAGCGGGCCGCACUGAAAUAUGUCAAGGUGGGUGUUCAUUUAGCUUGCUUUUCAGAAAGUCUCCCGGGCCGUAUUUGGAUCUUUUCGGUUUGAACGGCAGUUUUUUCUAGCGGUGUCAUAUGAAAUUGUCACCCAUAAUUAUGACCCUAGUAUCGAUCUAUUGCAUUUCAAUCUGUUUUAGGGUUAGGGGUAUGGGGAAGGAUAUCUUUUUUUUUCUUCACAAAUGAAAAUAAACCCAAUCUGUUUCUUAAACGAGGGACAUAUUCAUACGACACAGAAUGUUCUUUACCUCAAUAGACGUCAGUGAUUGGUUGAAAUUGCAGAAAUUUAAGAAGAAAAAACAACAAAUAUCUUACAAGCUAUAGAAUUUUCUCAACAAAGCCAAGAGAAAAGAUGUUUUAUAAACACAUUCUACCAGUAUACGAAGUUUAAAAGUGUUUAGUUACUUUCUCUUUUACUUGUUUCAGUCAUUUGACUGCGGCCAUGCUGGAGCACCACCUUUAGUCGAGCAACCUGACCCCGGGACUUAUUCUUUGUAAGCCCAGUACUAAUUCUAUCGGUCUCUUUUGUCGAACCGCUAAGUGACGGGGACGUAAGCACACCAGCAUCGGUUGUCAAGCAAUGCUAGGGGGACAAACACAGACACACAAACACACACACACACAUAUAUAUAUAUAUACAUAUAUACGACGGGCUUCUUUCAGUUUCCGUCUACCAAAUCCACUCACAAGGCUUUGGUCGGCCCGAGGCUAUAGUAGAAGGCACUUGCCCAAGGUGCCACGCAGUGGGACUGAACUAGGAACCAUGUGGUUCGUAAACAAGCUACUUACCACACAGCCACUCCUACGCCUAUAUAUACAUAUAUACUCAAUGGGCUUCUUUCAGUUUCCGUCUACCAAAUCCACUCACAAGGCUUUGGUCGGCCCGAGGCUAUAGUAGAAGGCACUUGCCCAAGGUGCCACGCAGUGGGACUGAACUAGGAACCAUGUGGUUCGUAAACAAGCUACUUACCACACAGCCACUCCUACGCCUAUAUAUACAUAUAUACGAUGGGCUUCUUUCAGUUUCCAUCUACCAAAUCCACUCACAAGGCUUUGGUCGGCCCGAGGCUAUAGUAGAAGACACUCACCCAAGGUGCCACGCAGUGGGGCUGAACUAGGAACCAUGUGGUUCGUAAACAAGCUACACCACACAGCCACUCCUACGCCUAUAUAUACAUAUAUACGAUGGGCUUCUUUCAGUUUCCAUCUACCAAAUCCACUCACAAGGCUUUGGUCGGCCCGAGGCCUUAGUAGAAGACACUCACCCAAGGUGCCACGCAGUGGACUGAACCCGGAACCAUGUGGUUGGUUAGCAAGCUACUUACCACACAGCCACUCCUGCGCCUUACGUGGAAAUUAUUUUUUUUAAAAACUGCCGGUCAAACCGAAAAGAUCCCAUCUUGCCAAGCUGCUCAGUUUACUGGAACGCAAAAGCAAGAAGCAUUGGCUGUCAAGUGGUGGCAUAUAUAAACACACACACACACACAUACACAUACACACCUGUGAGCAGUCGAAUUCUUAAGUCGCACCCAGUGGCCUUGAAAGAAGAGAACCGAUUGUAUAUUGUUAUAACGUAGCUUGAUCUUUGAGUUUAGAAACAUCACUUUCGCUUUUGUAAUCACUGAUUUUUUUUUUUUAUUGUUUCAAAAUAUCAAAACGGUGUCCUAAUUCUAAUUUAGGCCCUAAUCUCUUAAUCAUAUCCGUAAACUUCACCCAUGCAGUACUUGUACUGACUUGUUUUCUUUUUAUGUUUCGAGUUCUAACACCACCGAAGUCGACUUUAUUUCUUCGUGCUUUCGAGGUCAAUAAACUAUACCAGUCAGGUUCCGGAAUCGAUUUAAUCGACUAAACCACCUCUUCAUAAAAAUUAUUGGCCUUGUACUAAAAAUUGAAACCACCAUCAUCAUCAUCAUCAUCAUCAUCAUCAUCAUAUUAUUAUUAUUAUUAUUAUUAUUAUUAUUAUUAUUAUUAUUAUUGGAUCUUUUCGGUUUGAACGGCAGUUUUUUUCUAGCAGUGUCAUAUGAAACUGUCACCCAUAAUUAUGACCCUAGUAUCGAUCUAUUGCUUUGUAAGCCUUAUACUUAUUCUAUCGGCUCCUUUUGCCGAACCGCUUAGUUACGGGGACGUAAACACACCAGCAUCGGUUGUCAAGCGAUGAUGUUGGUGGGGGUGGGACACAAACAGACACAUAAGCAUAUACACGCACACAUAUAUAUAUAUAUACAUAUAUACGACGGGCUUCUUUCAGUUUCCGUCUACCAAAUCCGCUCACAAUGCUUUGGUCGGCCCGAGGCUAUAGUAGAAGACACUUACCCAAGGUGCCACGCAGUGGGACUGAACCCGGAACCAUAUGGUUGAUAAGCAAAUUCAGUCCCAUAUGGUUGAUAAGCAAAUUCAGGGGUUAAUCAAAGCCUUGUGAGUCAAAGUAGCAUGUCGUAUAUAUAUAUAUAUAUAUAUAUAUAUAUAUAUAUAUAGAUAGAUGUGUGUGUGUGUGUGUGUAUGUAUGUAUGUUUCUGUGUCUGUGUCCUACCACCACCAUCGCUUGACAACCGAUGUUAGUGUGUUUACGUUUCCGUAACUUAGCGGUUCUGCAACACAAACCGGGAUCUGUUCCAUCUCACACAGAGGUCGAUUUCUUCGACCAAAACCCUUUAAGGCGGUGCUCCAGCAUGGUUGCAGUCAAAUGACUGAAAUAUGUAAUUUAAGAUAUAUAUUUAUAUAUACACACACACAUACAGGCAUAAGUACACAAGUGCGCUCCCUACCCCCCAACUUCUUUUUUGUUUAUAACUUGUAGAAAAAUCGAUACUUUUUAGAGAAAUUUUCUUCAAAAUACCUUUCAGAUGGUGAAGAAAAUUUGACGGGCGCGCAUACGUACUGACACAAUUUUUCAAAAUUUCGAGUUUCAAUAUACAAACGUACGUACGUAUGUGUGUGUAUGUUUUUCUGUGUGUGCGCGCGUAUAACUGUGUAUGUAUGUUUGUAUGUAUGUGUGUCAGUAUGUACGUUUGCGCGCCCAAGAGUUUUUCUCUUUGUUUCCCCCCACGUUUUAACGUGGAAAUAAAGAGAGAGAGAGAGAGAGAGAGAGAAAAAUUUUGAUAUAAUGGUAAUCUACACCAUCUGGAAUAUAUUUGAAGAAAAUUUCUUGAAAAAAUACUCAUUUCUCUGUGAGUUAUGAGGAAACAAAGUCGGUGGGGCACUUGUAUGCAUAUGAUAUAUUCAUAUCUCUCUGUCUCUUUCUAUUUAGAUAGAUAGAUAGAUAGAUAGAUAGAUAGAUAGAUAGAUAGAUAGAUAGAUAGAUAGAUAGAUAGAUAGAUAGAUAGAUAGAUAGAUAGAUAGAUAGAUAUAGAGGUAACUUAGCUAUUUAAAAUGAGUUACUAGGGGCCGAUAUGUUUCUAUUGUAUAACCCUUGAAGAAAUUAAGGAUAAUAAUAUGUUUAAGGUCAACUUGGCCUUUCAUCCUAGCGGGGAUCGAUAAAUUUAAAGGACCAAUCAAGUGCUGGGGUCGCUUUUUAUCGAUUUAACUCCCCCUCCUUCUUUAGGCUUGUAUCUAUGCAAGACUUUAUACGUGCGUGCAUAUAUAUUUAUAUUUAUAUGUUGCACCUGUAAUCAAGGGCGUUCCCUUUGCGACUGUCCUGCCUAUUAUUCAGGCAUUGUGUAUCUAGGACUACAUUAUCUAAUGAGCUCUUCCCCGUUGCUGUUUAGCCCCGGGAAAGCCUUUUUUUUGCAACGGUCCCAUGAUCAAAUGUGUUCCAGAUGUGACCAUCCUGUCUUAUAUUCAGACAUAGUGUAUCUAGGACUACAUUAUCCAAUGUGUCCUUCCUUGUUGGUCCAUUUAACCCUGGGCCAUUCCUGAUCCAGCAGACCUUUGAUCAAAGAUGUUCCAGAUGUGACCAUCCUGUCUUAUAUUCAAACAUAGUGUACCUAGGACUGCAUUAUCCAAUGUGUCCUUCCUUGCUGGUUCAUUUAACCCUGGGCCAUUCCUGAUCCAGCAGACUUAUGAUCAAAGAUGUUCCAGAUGUGACUAUCCUGUCUUAUAUUCAGACAUAGUGUACCUAGGACUAUAUUAUCAAAUGAGCUCUUCCCCGUUGUUGUUUAGCCCCGGGGAAGCCUUUUUUUUUGCAACGGACCCA
rnacentral:lncRNA from 1 species